rnacentral:rRNA from 1 species
UAAAGGAAUUGGCGGGGGAGCACUGCAACGGUGGAGCGUGCGGUUUAAUUGGAUUCAACGCCGGAAAACUCACCNGGGGGCGACGAUUAUAUGAAGGCCAGGUUGAUGACCUUGCCUGAUUUUUCGAGAGGUGGUGCAUGGCCGCCGUCAGUUCGUACCGUAAGGCGUUCUGUUAAGUCAGAUAACGAACGAGACCCUCAUCGCCAUUUGCUAGGCUCUUCUCAGGAAGGGUUGCACUAUGGCGAUACCGCCACUGCUGAAGUGGAGGAAGGAGGGGGCAACGGUAGGUCAGUAUGCCCCGAAUCUCCCGGGCUACACGCGCGCUACAAAGGGCAGGACAAUGGGCUUCGACGCCGAAAGGCGAAGGCAAUCCCGAAACCUGCUCGUACUUCGGAUUGAGGGCUGCAAUUCGCCCUCAUGAAGCUGGAAUCCGUAGUAAUCGCGGGUCAACAUCCCGCGGUGAAUAUGCCCCUGCUCCUUGCACACACCGCCCGUCAAACCACCUUAGUUGGGUCUGGACGAGGGCUCGCCUUCUGGCGCGCUCGAAUCUGGGUUCAGCGAGGAGGGUUAAGUCGUAACAAGGUA